rnacentral:rRNA from 1 species
AUGGUGAAGGAGAAGGGGAAUGAGAAGGGAAAGGGUGCUGGUAAGGAGAAUGCGAAGGCGAAGGCAAAGGAGAAAAUCGUGAAUUACCUAAUUAGGCAAGAUUCGGCGCUGCCUCCGCCGGUUCCGAGGAAGAAGAGGAAGCCUAAGGUGCAGAUUAGGAAGGCGAAAGACUUUCCCAAUGCCCCAACGGGAGAGUUGAUUUAUAGGUUAAAAAAACACCCUCCACCUCCGAGGCGUCUCCCCGACCGCACCGGUGCCGGCGUGCGUGCCGCGGAAGCCGCUGCCUCUACUAUUGUGGUAGAUGACGAGGAGAAGGAGGAUGAGGACGAGGAGGAGGAUGAGGACGUGGACGUGGACAUGGAUGAGGACCGGCUAGUAUCCCGAAUAUCAAAGAGUGAGUUGCGGAACUACUUAGAGGAUGAGGUUGCCCCUCGCCACAAGGCUCUUGAUCUUCUUGGUUGGUGGAAAGAGAAUGCUCCAAGGUACCCAAUGUUGGCCAAGAUAGCCAAGAGGUUCAUUACUAUCCCGGCUACCUCCGUGUCUUCGGAAUCUACCUUCAGCACGACCGGAAGGAUUUUAGAUGACUAUAGGAGUUCGUUAAAACCGGUUAUGGUGGAGGCAUUAGUUUGUGGUGCAAGUUAUAUCAAGGGUGCUCAUGUUGACUUGAAUCUGGUGCCGAGGGAUGAGAAUGAAGAGGAUGAUGUUGAGAACAUCAAGUUACCCACUGUGGUGGAGGAGAUCAAUGAUUGGUAA